rnacentral:lncRNA from 1 species
UGAAAGAAAAUUGAUGGAUUUCAUAAAGAGGAAAACUGAUUACAAAAAAAAUGGAGAUUAGAGGCCUAAUACUCCUUCUAUUUUGCAAAUAAAAUAAAGAAAAGAAAACAAAAAUAAAUUACUUCUCUUUUCCCCCCUCUCUCUCUCUCUCUCUCACAGUGGAAAAUAAAAUACUCAUUUCCCUUCUUUUCUUUUUUUUCUUCUUCUUCCCAAAAGAGCUCCCCUGUUUCCUUGGACCCGCCGGCCUCUUUCCUCUUUUCUUUGGAACCAACCACCCAGCCGAGAGCUCCGGCCCAACUCCCCCCUCCUCCUCUCCUCACGUCCUCCUCUUAUAGAUCGCCGAAGACCGAUGGAUCCCGGAAGAGGAGGAGGGCGCGGUCUGCGGUCGUGUGCGGGAUCACGACUGCAUCACGGCGGAAGCAGAGGCGGAGGAGGCUGGAUCGGAAGCUGAUGCACGCGGGAUCGCUGGAAAUCAGGGAGGAUGACAUGGAUCUGCUGUGGAGGUGUCAUGGAUGGCGAGAUGAGGUGCUUCACGGGCGGCUGGGACGUUGAUCACGAACUUGGGGCUGCGAGAUCGACGGAAUGGAGCUGGACCGUCCGGGACGAUGGCGUGAUCCAUGGAAGGAAGGAGAGGGCGGACGGGCGCGGGAUCCGUGGAAGGAGGGGCUGGCCGCUGGGAUUCCGGGAUGAUUGGGUGCGAUGGAGGAGGCUGGAUCGCUGGGAUGUUCACCGCGUGAAGAACGCGGGCUGCUGGCACGGUGGCUGGCACGGGAGUUGGAUGCAUACUUGGGAUCGAUGUGGCGGACGCAUGGGAUCAUUCCCUCUCCCCUGUUUUUG